UGGCAAGGCCUCCAACUGAGCGUCUGACACCUUGGCUGAAUCCUUCCGUGACUUUGGAGAAGAGAGACACCUGAGACACAGCCACGAAUGGAAGCCCCAGCAGCUGCAGAAACACUCCGAUGAUAAAAGCCGUCAGCUCCCAUUCAUAACCACCUGGCAGGGAUGUAACAACAGCAACAUGAUAUUACCAAAUUACAAUAAUCUUUCCCACAAAUUAUGUGGCACAUACAAUUAAAAAUGUACUAUAGUUCAUCA